rnacentral:misc_RNA from 1 species
UGCCCUUGACAUGUCCGGAACCCUGCAGAGAUGCGGGGGUGCCUUCGGGAAUCGGAACACAGGUGCUGCAUGGCUGUCGUCAGCUCGUGUCGUGAGAUGUUGGGUUAAGUCCCGCAACGAGCGCAACCCUUGUCCCUAGUUGCCAGCGCGUAAUGGCGGGAACUCUAGGGAGACUGCCGGUGACAAACCGGAGGAAGGUGGGGAUGACGUAAGGAAUGUCGAUA